UACAGAGGUCUCAAGCGUUGUUCGGAUUCAUUGGGCGUAAAGGGUGUGUAGGUGGCGCCGUAAGUCGGGUGUGAAAUUUCGGAGCUUAACUCCGAAACUGCAUUCGAUACUGCGGUGCUUGAGGACUGGAGAGGAGACUGGAAUUCAUGGUGUAGCAGUGAAAUGCGUAGAGAUCAUGAGGAAGACCAGUGGCGAAGGCGGGUCUCUGGACAGUUCCUGACACUGAGGUGCGAGAGCGUGGGGAGCGAACCGG
rnacentral:rRNA from 1 species